UACAGAGGUCCCAAGCGUUGUUCGGAUUCACUGGGCGUAAAGGGUGCGUAGGUGGCCAGGUAAGUUCGGUGUGAAAGCUCGGAGCUUAACUCCGAAAUGGCAUUGAAUACUAUCUGGCUAGAGGGUCGGAGGGGAGACUGGAAUUCUCGGUGUAGCAGUGAAAUGCGUAGAUAUCGAGAGGAACACCAGUGGCGAAGGCGAGUCUCUGGACAUUUCCUGACGCUGAGGCACGAAAGCCAGGGGAGCAAACGGG
rnacentral:rRNA from 1 species